rnacentral:rRNA from 1 species
CUUUACUGUAGCCUGGAAUUGGGUUCGGGCUUGGCCUGCGCAGAAUAGGUGGGAGGCAUUGAAGUACCCCUCGUGGGGGGUAUGGAGCCAUCGGUGAGAUACCACUCUGGCCAAGCUAGAAUUCUAACCUUAACCCAUUAUCUGGGUAAGGAACCGUUUCAGGCGGGCAGUUUGACUGGGGCGGUCGCCUCCUAAAUGGUAACGGAGGCGCGCAAAGGUUCUCUCAGGCUGGUUGGAAAUCAGCCGUAGAGUGUAAAGGCAUAAGAGAGCUUGACUGCAAGACAAACAAGUCGAGCAGGGACGAAAGUCGGCCUUAGUGAUCCGACGGUUCCGAGUGGAAGGGCCGUCGCUCAACGGAUAAAAGUUA